UAGGGAAUCUUCCACAAUGGACGCAAGUCUGAUGGAGCAACGCCGCGUGAGUGAAGAAGGUUUUCGGAUCGUAAAGCUCUGUUGUUGGUGAAGAAGGAUAGAGGCAGUAACUGGUCUUUAUUUGACGGUAAUCAACCAGAAAGUCACGGCUAACUACGUGCCAGCAGCCGCGGUAAUACGUAGGUGGCAAGCGUUGUCCGGAUUUAUUGGGCGUAAAGCGAGCGCAGGCGGAAUGAUAAGUCUGAUGUGAAAGCCCACGGCUCAACCGUGGAACUGCAUCGGAAACUGUCAUUCUUGAGUGCAGAAGAGGAGAGUGGAACUCCAUGUGUAGCGGUGGAAUGCGUAGAUAUAUGGAAGAACACCAGUGGCGAAGGCGGCUCUCUGGUCUGCAACUGACGCUGAGGCUCGAAAGCAUGGGUAGCGAACAGGAUUAGAUACCCUGGUAGUCCAUGCCGUAAACGAUGAGCGCUAGGUGUUGGGGACUUUCCGGUUCUCAGUGCCGCAGCAAACGCAUUAAGCGCUCCGCCUGGGGGAGUACGACCGCAAGGUUGAAAC
rnacentral:rRNA from 1 species